rnacentral:rRNA from 1 species
GACGAACGCUGGCGGCAGGCCUAACACAUGCAAGUCGAACGAGUGGCGGACGGGUGAGUAAUGUCUGGGAAACUGCCUGAUGGAGGGGGAUAACUACUGGAAACGGUAGCUAAUACCGCAUACCAUCGGAUGUGCCCAGGUGGGAUUAGCUAGUAGGUGGGGUAACGGCUCACCUAGGCGACGAUCCCUAGCUGGUCUGAGAGGAUGACCAGCCACACUGGACCUCAGACACGGUCCAGACGCGUACGGGGGGCAGCAGUGGGGAAUAUUGCACAAUGGGGCAGAGCCUGAUGCAGCAACGCCGCGUGCGGGAUGACGGCCUUCGGGUUGUAAACCGCUUUCAGCCAUGACGCGGUAGUGGCAGAAGAAGCACCGGCUAACUACGUGCCAGCCGCCGCGGUAAUAC